CAUAUUUAUUUACACAAAAAUUGACAUUUUAGCCAGCAAACAAAUCUUUACUGAAAUUGUGAUCUCCUCUUUAUAAAAUAAUUUUUGAAAAAUCGAGACUAGGAUAUACAAUUAAAAUGUCUACAAUGCAGGCCAAUCGAAAACGCAAUCGAUCCACCGAUGUCGAUUUUCACUGCCAAUCAAAAUACUUCGUAAAUCAACGUAUGGUGGAUUCAUUAGACCAAAAAUACAUGAAAACUAUUUUCGACAAAACGAUGGGCUUGCUUUUCAAUGGGGCCAAAAACAUGUCUAACAACAACCAACUGCUUGAGUCCAAAAACGAUAAAUUCAGGACGAUACGGUUGGAUGGUGAAGGCAAUGUAAACUUUGUGGAUGGUAGUGCUGAAAGCAGCGUAAAAACUGGAUGUACAAGCUGCAACAAAAUGUCAACUAUUCAAUCUGAGUGCUCGAACUGUAACCUAAAUCUGUGUGAAUACUGCGGAGUCAGUUGUGCUAGUUGUCUCGAGGCACACAUCUGUAAGCAGUGUGUGCAACUAUUUGAGAACAAUGCCAACAGUCUGCCGUGCUGCAGAACUUGUAAAAUGUUUACGUAAUUUAUGUUGAGAUCAGCUGGCGAUAUACUUAUACUAUGGGAUUCA